GUUUCAGGGCGGGGUGAAAUUCCCCACCGGCGGUACAGCCCGCGACCGGCCGCUCUGCGGCCGCUGAUUCGGUGAAACUCCGAAGCCGACGGUAUAGUCCGGAUGGAAGAAA
rnacentral:ncRNA from 1 species